CACUCCUGCGGGAGGCAACAGUGGGGAAUAUUGGACCAUGGGCGCAAGCCUGAUCCAGCCAUGCCGCGUGAGUGAUGAAGGCCCUAGGGUUGUAAAGCUCUUUCACCGGUGAAGAUAAUGACGGUAACCGGAGAAGAAGCCCCGGCUAACUUCGUGCCAGCAGCCGCGGUAAUACGAAGGGGGCUAGCGUUGUUCGGAUUUACUGGGCGUAAAGCGCACGUAGGCGGACUAUUAAGUCAGGGGUGAAAUCCCGGGGCUCAACCCCGGAACUGCCUUUGAUACUGGUAGUCUUGAGUUCGAGAGAGGUGAGUGGAAUUCCGAGUGUAGAGGUGAAAUUCGUAGAUAUUCGGAGGAACACCAGUGGCGAAGGCGGCUCACUGGCUCGAUACUGACGCUGAGGUGCGAAAGCGUGGGGAGCAAACAGGAUUAGAAACCCGAGUAGUCCCAUGA
rnacentral:rRNA from 1 species